AGCAAAGGCUCAGAGAGGUGAAGUGUGUGCAGGAGAUAGGGGUGGGGAGAAGCAUCUGGGAGAGGACCGGUUCUGGUACCACCCACCAGGCGAGGACUUCUGGAUGCACCUAGAAUGCAGUGUGCUGGCUCAGGAACUACCCUGCGUUGGUGAGAAGUGGUGCGGGUGCCACAACCGAGCAGCAGUCCUAAGCUUCAGCCUGGAUGGAGGGUCUUUGCUUGGUCAGCCUGUGGGAAGCGGACUACAAGUACAGAGCCUGGAGACGGUCAGACCUAGAUUCAGAUCCUGACAUGGCCAAGGGUGCUGUGCACUCUUGGAUAAGUCACUGAGCCUCUCAGAAGCUCAGUUCCCCGUCUCUGAACAAACUACUACCUACUGUACAGAACAGUUGGGAGGCCCGAAAUGC